ensembl:lncRNA
UGGGGCUGCAGCCUGGGUUCUUACACAGUGUUUGUACCCUUGACAUUAUAAUAACGAAAGAUUUUAGAUUGCAUCCUGAUAAAGGAUGUUAUCUCUACAAGCCAAUGUUAGGUUUCUCCCUAGGUGAGUGCCUAUUUCUUAAUGGAAUAUUAAGGAAUACAUGAAGGGAAUGCAUUUUCUGGAUGUCUGUCCUGCAAGAGCACAGUAUUAGGAAGGGGAAGUUUUAUGCACUUCAGAAAAUCUUAAGCAGUGCUGAGCCAAUUAACAACCGUACAGGAAAGGGGGCUGCCUUCUUGUGACCAGAGAGGUCAAUAUUAACUCCAGGUCUGUGUUGCCAGCUUUGUGGUGUUACAUCCCACUGGGUGCCAUGUUCUGGCUGCUGUCCUGGGCCAAACCCAAAGCACACCUUCUCUUGCUGUUUCCUUGUUCAGUUGUUUUGACCUUUCAGACCCACAGCCAUGGUUCCCAUGAGCAUAUUCCCUGCUUCUGUGAAUUAAAUAAACUUUCCAGUUCUCAUCUGCAGCCAGCUAAGCAAUGUUGCCUCUUCCCAGAGCUGUUUGCCCUGUUUGCAUGUAUUUGCUUGUACAUAUUCCCUUUAUUGAUACUGCUUGCAGGAGUUUCAGUCAGGCAUGUCUACCGACGCAGCAAAAAAAAAUACCCCCGGAAUUUACCACACAACCAGAGAACUUGCUUAUAAGCAAAACUAAUAUUUAACCUUCUUUGUUUAGUAGAAACAGGUUUUUGACUUUGCUUUGUCUCAUUUGAUGCAUUUAUCUUUCAGUCCCCCUGGUGAUUUUGAGCUCUUUGCCCACAUUCAAGCAAAUUUAAUACAAGAGCAGAGCUCUUAGACGUUUCUGUAGGUUUCUGGAAAAUGAGCAGUGAAGAAGAGAAGGGUCCCACUGGCAUCCCUACCAAGAGAAAGGCUGCGGCAUGACAUCCACCCAAAUUGGGCUGCACCUGAGAGGGAGAAAUUACAAAUGCCUUUCUCCCCGGGAAGAGCUCACAUCCCAUUUAGAUACUAGAGAAUCCAACCCUGAGGAAACAAGGCCUCAUUUGUGUCAUUGCCCGAGGAACUACUUAAUUAAAGGACAACAGAGUUGAGAACAUUGUUAUGUGGGCCUUUGUUCCUUACACCUGGUCAUUUCCAUUGAUGUAAAAUGCCAUCUUUCUGAUCUGGGAGCAUUUGGCACCCACUUUAGACAAGUAUUCCUGACCAGCCAAGAAGAUGCAGAGCAGGGAAGGAUCAGACCUUUAUUACUUAGGUAAUUACAGCCUCACCUAGCCAUCAGGCGGAGGACAUGCUGAGAGGUCAUGACCACAAGCUCUCACAUCUCUGAGUCUCCUGGUUUUAAUCCAGCUUGACGUAGCACUACUGGUGAAGGCCAUGAGAUGGGGAGACUGAAACAAGAAAUGGCACCAUAACCGACAGAAUCAGCUCUGAGUUAAAAUGCUAAAGGACGUAGGGGGUAGCUAUCAAAGCUUGUCUCAGCAACUAGCCUAAUUCUGUUUCCAAAAACCACUGUUGAGUGCUUUUGAAAAUUUUAUCCUAGAUGCUUGGCUCAAAGACCUUAACCAAUGAUUUUUUUUUCCUUCUAUCUGCUGUACGAAAGCUAAAUAUAAACCCACAUUAUUGAACAAAACCCUAACAAACCCCCUGUUGCAGGUCUCAAAAAAUCUUUACUCAGGAAAUUGAAUUAUUGGAAACCAGCAUCUAAAGUGUCCUUUGGUUUCAGAUGCUUCUUUGUUUUGUGUACACAGUUUGGCAUACAGAAAGAUGUUAUUUCCAACAGCAAAUGUUUGCCUUCUGUUCUUUUUAAGUUCUCCUAUUUGGCUUUUGUUCUCCUGCCCUCAGAAAACCAGGGUUUGAGUGUCUCCGGAUGGGUAGCUGAAGUUCCUUUUGAAAAUGUGGAUUAGUUUGUUUUAUCCAUGCAACUAUGUGCAUAUGUGUGUCUACUGUUUGUCUGAAGAGAGUCUUAAUGACUUUUCCGUUGAUUGACUGUGGGACCACAAGCAAGUCAUAAAGCUAGCGUGUGCCUCAGUUUACCCACUGCAGCUUCAUUAAUGCUAACCUGCCUCACAAGGUGCUGUAAUGUUUAAUAUAUUGUGUGCUCUAUAAUCCUUGGAUUAAAUGUAUUAUGUAAGUGAAAAGCAUCUAUUUGAUGUAUAUGCAAAUGCCACAGUAUAAUAGGUAGGAGGGUCAUUUGGGUGUAAGUGUAAUACAGGCGCUGGCAAAGGGCAAAAGGGAUUCCAUUGUAUUGACUUAUUUUUAAAGAGCUUUUUAUUUACUGAAAUGCUCUGGACACCCAGAAAGAGAGACAUUCCUCACUAAGCAUGUCUGCCGUUUCAUCUGUCUCGAAGCGCUUUGAUAAAUGGAUUGAAACUUGUCGGCUUUUCCUGUAGUUUCUGAGACUCCCUCUGGAAACCCUGUUGAAAUGUUAUUAUGGUAACUUCUCAGAGCGCUAUUUAAUGAAUCGUAACAGAUAUCCCUGCGAGUCCCACAGAAGCCUGGCAGAAGUAAGGCCCUGCACACAGACAGCCUUGCGUUCCCCACCGCUCACAGCCUGCCUUCACCACAGAGAUUGCAGCCCACCCAACCUGGAUCGUUAGAGGACAUCUGCAGAGGAGGUCAGGAUGCCUGACCUGGACACAAAUGUGGUGUGGAGUUGCCAUGCAGUUUGUGGGUGGAAGGAAGUUGAACAUCUUAGGGUCACCUUGAGACCCAGUACAUUACUCGUCCCGUCACAUCACGCAGUGGGGCAAUGAAGUGCCACAGUGACUUUGUAUUUCCUACUUCCAGCCUACUGAUAGGACUCUUGCUCCUCCUCCGCUCUUCCUGAAGCAAGGGUGUGUGACUGGUGGUACGGUUGGGUGGGUUGGAUAGCUUGGUCAAGGUGGAGUGCACUCAUACAUCUCUGUCCCAGUGCAGUGGUCACUUGAGGGUUUCAG